GAGAGAGACGGAGACAGAGUGUGAGCCGAGGAGGGUCAGAGAGAGAGGGAGACACAGAAUCCGAAGCAGGCUCCAGGCUCUGGGCUGUCAGCACGGAGCCCGACGGGGGGCUUGAACCCACAAACUGUGAGAUCAUGACCUGAGCCAAAGUUGGACGCUUAACUGACUGAGCCACCCUGGCGCCCCGAGACCCAUUUAUUUUUGUGCACUAGAGAGAUAACAGAUGGUGUAUUUUUAAGUUUUUUAAUAAACCUAAAAUCUACAUUAAUAGUUGAAGGAUAGGAUGUGAAAGAGAUGAAAGAAAGAUCUGAUCUCCGUUUGUUAUUAACCUAGCUUUUGUCUCAAUUCCUUCUAACGUCGUGCUUGGGAAAUAUCACUGCUUACUAUUUUGUGUGGUAGGUCGGAGUAGAAAGAAAAAGCAAAUAAAGAUGUCUGUCUGCAUUUUUUUCCUUUGAACUGUGGGUGUGGAAGUUGAGGUCAAUGGAGAAAAAGAAAACUAUAGCUUUCUUCAUAUAUGAUUUAUUCAGGCUUUCCCUGCUCCUGGGCAUAAGUGGUAACUAAUUGGAAUGCCCCUAAGUGCUGCAGAUACACGGACUGCGGAGCUCAGAGAUCACCAACAGGCGCAGGCCAUAGGACCAGUGUUGGCUGGAGCAGCCAACCACGCAUAAGGUCAGCAGAAGAAAUCCAGCGACAAGUUUUGGAAUCGCCUCCAUUCUGAGGAACACGAUGGAACAGUCAGAGGAGCCCCAGACUGGGUUGAGCAAAAAGUAAAGACCUCUUUGUGUUACUUCUUCUAGACAACUGAAUGGGUGGAGAAAAAAAAAAGUGAGAAGGACAACAUUUUUCAUCUUGGGCAUCUUCCUCCGGCC